rnacentral:rRNA from 1 species
AUUGAACGCUGGCGGCAGGCCUAACACAUGCAAGUCGAGCGGAUGAAGGGAGCUUGCUCCUGGAUUCAGCGGCGGACGGGUGAGUAAUGCCUAGGAAUCUGCCUGGUAGUGUGGGAGAACGUCCGUAAACGGGCGCUAAUACCGCAUACGUCCUGAGGGAGAAAGAGGGGGAUCUUCGUACCUCACGCUAUUAGAUGAGCUUAGGUCGGAUUAGGUAGUUGGUGGGGUAAAGGCCUACCAAGGCGACGAUCCGUAACUGGCCUGAGAGGAUGAUCAGUCACCCUGGAACUGAGCCACGGUCCAGACUCCUACGGGAGGAAGAAGUGGGGAAUAUUGGCCAAUGGGCGAACGCCUGCUCCAGCCCUGCCGCGUGUGUGAAGAAGGUCUUCGGAUUUUAAAGCACUUUAAGUUGGGAGGAAGGGCAGUAAGUUAAUAACUUGCUGUUUUGACGUUACCAACAGAAUAAGCACCGGCUAACUUCGUG